rnacentral:rRNA from 1 species
UACGAAGGGGACUAGCGUUAUUCGGAAUUACUGGGCGUAAAGCGCACGUAGGCGGCUUUGUAAGUAAGAGGUGAAAGCCCAGAGCUCAACUCUGGAAUUGCCUUUUAGACUGCAUCGCUUGAAUCAUGGAGAGGUCAGUGGAAUUCCGAGUGUAGAGGUGAAAUUCGUAGAUAUUCGGAAGAACACCAGUGGCGAAGGCG